rnacentral:rRNA from 1 species
GACGAACCGUGCAAACGUUGUUCGGAAUCACUGGGCUUAAAGGGCGCGUAGGCGGCUCAUCAAGUCGGGGGUGAAAUACUUCAGCUUAACUGGAGAAGUGCCUUCGAUACUGGUGGGCUUGAGGGAGGUAGGGGUCUUUGGAACUUCUGGUGGAGCGGUGAAAUGCGUUGAUAUCAGAAGGAACGCCGGUGGCGAAAGCGAAGGACUGGACCUCUUCUGACGCUGAGGCGCGUAAGCUAGGGGAGCAAACGGG